CCUACGGGAGGCAGCAGUGAGGAAUAUUGCUCAAUGGCCGGAAGGCUGAACCAGCCAUGCCGCGUGAAGGUCAGUGCUCUAUGGGCGUUAAACCUCUUUCGUGCGGGAGCAAUAAUGGCUACGCUAGGCCAGACGAAAGUACCGUACGAAUAAGCAUAGGCUAAGUCUGAGCCAGCACCAGCGGCAACGGGGGGGGUGAAGGUGUUAUCGGGAUUUGUAGGGUUUGAAGGGAGCGUAGGCUGUUAGGUAAGUCAGCGGUGAAAGGCCCCGGCUCAACGGGGUGAAGUGCCAUUGAUACUGGCUUGCUGGAAUGCGUAUGCCGUGAGAGGAAUGUGUGGUGUAGGGGUGAAAUGCAUAGAUAUCACACAGAACACCAGUUGCGAAGGCGACUCACGAAUCCGCGAUUGACGCUGAUGAACGAAAGCGUGGGUAGCAAACAGGAUUAGAUACCCCUGUAGUC
rnacentral:rRNA from 1 species